UCGGUCAGGGGCGCAGCAGUGGGGAAUAUUGCACAAUGGGGGAAACCCUGAUGCAGCGACGCCGCGUGAGUGAGGAAGUAUUUCGGUAUGUAAAGCUCUAUCAGCAGGGAAGAAAAUGACGGUACCUGACCAAGAAGCCCCGGCUAACUACGUGCCAGCAGCCGCGGUAAUACGUAGGGGGCAAGCGUUAUCCGGAUUUACUGGGUGUAAAGGGAGCGCAGGCGGCUUGGCAAGUCUGAUGUGAAAGGCUGGGGCUCAACCCCAGGACUGCAUUGGAAACUGUUAGGCUGGAGUGUCGGAGAGGG
rnacentral:rRNA from 1 species